GGCCGAUUCGACUAGAUGGUUCAGGUCACGAGGCUUUCAACCUCGUAACAGCGGGUUCAAGUCCCCUAUCGGUCA
rnacentral:tRNA from 1 species